AUUGAACGCUGGCGGCAUGCCUUACACAUGCAAGUCGAACGGCAGCACGGGAGCAAUCCUGGUGGCGAGUGGCGAACGGGUGAGUAAUAUAUCGGAACGUGCCCAGUCGUGGGGAUAACGUAGCGAAAGCUACGCUAAUACCGCAUACGAUCUAUGGAUGAAAGCGGGGGAUCGCAAGACCUCGCGCGAUUGGAGCGGCCGAUAUCAGAUUAGGUAGUUGGUGAGGUAAAGGCUCACCAAGCCGACGAUCUGUAGCUGGUCUGAGAGGACGACCAGCCACACUGGGACUGAGACACGGCCCAGACUCCUACGGGAGGCAGCAGUGGGAAUUUUGGACAAUGGGCGCAAGCCUGAUCCAGCAAUGCCGCGUGCAGGAUGAAGGCCUUCGGUUGUAACGUAGCUUUG
rnacentral:rRNA from 1 species